AUGUCAAAUCAGUUAUACUUUUACUUCAUCCAUUUAUGUUGGUUCAAAGAAAAACAUAGAAUCUCAAACGCAGUGUUCUAAAUAUGAUUUUGAAGAAAAGAUAUUGGAAAAACUUGUUCGUCUGGAACAUAAAAUGGAAAUUAACGAACAAAAAGUAAAGAGCUUUGAGGAAUCUGUGAUGUUCAAAUUAAAUGACUUCAACGAUUCGGAGAAACAAAGGAAACAAAGUAUGCAAUCAAUGAUAGAUACAUUCGAGAUGAAAAGAACUUGUUAAACAGUUCAUUAGUGAAUGCUAUCGAAGAUGUGAUGAUAAAAACUGACAGUUUGGCGGAUGAAUUUACAGCAAAAUUUAACCAGCUUCGAAAAGACCAUUCAUCAACAGUUCUAUUCAAGGCAGUCCAUUUACAGUCGGAUAACAAUUUACAAGGAAAGAUUCUGGUGUUUAAUAACAUUAUUACGAACGACGGUAAUGGAUAUAAUAACAACAAUGGUAUAUUCAUAGCACCUGUGUCUGGUGUUUACUUGUUUUCCGUGCAAUUAUGUCCAGAUAUAGGUGAUCAUGCUACGGGUUAUAUCAUAGCAAAUGGGAAACGAAUAGGGAAAUUGAACUUUAAAAAUUCUUCCGAUAUCGAUGAUGUUUGUGCUUUUUCUAACGGUAUACAAAGAGUUAUGAAAGGACAAAAAGUGUGGAUUUAUUGUAGCUACGCCAACCAUAAAGGCGAUGUGAUAUAUAAUACCAAUGUGUUAAAUAAUGGAAACAUCUUUUCCGGAAUUCUAUUAAACCCAAACUGACUAUAGAAAAGAUUUUUACUAUCAACUUAUUAUUUCUUAUUCAUAUAUGGAUCAUUUUGGAGAUGAAGCUUGCGACGCCAAAAUUCUACGAACCUGCAAUAAUUCGCAGCGUUAGCCCAAAUGCAGCAGUAUACUAUUCGUAUGGACAUAUUUUAAAAAUAAAUUUAACUGUUUGACAUACAAAAUA